rnacentral:rRNA from 1 species
CCUACGGGUGGCAGCAGUGGGGAAUAUUGGACAAUGGGCGAAAGCCUGAUCCAGCCAUGCCGCGUGUGUGAAGAAGGCCUUCGGGUUGUAAAGCACUUUCAGUGGGGACGAAAGCCUUGGGGCUAAUACCCUCGAGGAAGGACAUCACCCACAGAAGAAGCACCGGCUAACUCCGUGCCAGCAGCCGCGGUAAUACGGAGGGUGCGAGCGUUAAUCGGAAUUACUGGGCGUAAAGCGCGCGUAGGCGGUCUGAUAAGCCGGUUGUGAAAGCCCCGGGCUCAACCUGGGAACGGCAUCCGGAACUGUCAGGCUAGAGUGCAGGAGAGGAAGGUAGAAUUCCCGGUGUAGCGGUGAAAUGCGUAGAGAUCGGGAGGAAUACCAGUGGCGAAGGCGGCCUUCUGGACUGACACUGACGCUGAGGUGCGAAAGCGUGGGUAGCAAACAGGAUUAGAUCCCUGGUAGUC